rnacentral:rRNA from 1 species
UACGUAGGGGGCAAGCGUUGUCCGGAUUUAUUGGGCGGAAAGAGCGUGUAGGCGGCCAUGUAGGUCCGUUGUGAAAACUCGAGGCUCAACCUCGAGACGCCGAUGGAAACCAUGUGGCUAGAGUCCGGAAGAGGAGAGUGGAAUUCCUGGUGUAGCGGUGAAAUGCGCAGAUAUCAGGAGGAACACCCGUGGCGAAAGCGGCUCUCUGGGACGGUACUGACGCUGAGACGCGAAAGCGUGGGGAGCAAACAGG